UCUACUUCUGGAUUGCAGUUGACCAUGGGAAACUGAAACCAAGGAAAGCAAAACCACGGAUAAAGGUAUACAUAAGUAGGUAAGCAAGCAUGUAGUCCCUGGAUCCACUUGGAACAUUCAGAGGCCAAGAAAGGAGCCAGCUUUAAGAUGAUCUUGCAUAAAACAAAGCAGAGAGUGACAGUGGUGAGCCACCAGAUUAAACCAUGCUUGAAAUGAGACCCAUCUCUGGAUUGUUCAGUCAUUACAAUGAAGAAACACACAGCUGCAUCAAAGCAUAUUGACCUGAAAUUUCACAUCACCAGAAAUAAAGAGAACAUCCAGAAAGCUUUCAGAGAUUGGGAGAAACAGGCCACAGGCAAAUGGCCAAAAACUCCAGUAGCAUCAAGAUGUCCAAAGCAAGUGUUUUCAAUGGAUAUGAGUGAAAAAGUCCUGAGAAGACAGUGAUCCUAACAAGAACAGAUUCUUCUAAAGAAAAGAACAGACUUCUGGAUGUUGCUGCUGUUCUGCUGGGUGCAGGAGGCAAAGGAUCAUGUCCUCUAAAGAUAGUUCCUGGGGAGAAUGUUCUGGGUCUUUUUAUUGGUCAAUAA